rnacentral:rRNA from 1 species
UAGUCCACGCCGUAAACGAUGGAUACUAGCUGUCGGGACUUCGGUCUCGGCGGCCAAGCGAAAGUGAUAAGUAUCCCACCUGGGGAGUACGUUCGCAAGAAUGAAACUCAAAGGAAUUGACGGGGGCCCGCACAAGCGGUGGAGCAUGUGGUUUAAUUCGAUGAUACGCGAGGAACCUUACCAGGGCUUAAAUGUAGAUUGCAUUAGGCAGAGAUGCUUAUUUCUUCGGACUAUCUACAAGGUGCUGCAUGGUUGUCGUCAGCUCGUGCCGUGAGGUGUCAGGUUAAGUCCUAUAACGAGCGCAACCCCUACCGUUAGUUGCUAGCAGGUCAUGCUGAGGACUCUAACGGGACUGCCGGUGCAAACCGUGAGGAAGGUGGGGACGACGUCAAAUCAUCACGGCCCUUACGUCCUGGGCCACACACGUGCUACAAUGGUCGUGACAAAGAGUUGCUAGUCUGCGAAGGCAAGCCAAUCUCAUAAACGCGGCCUUAGUUCGGAUUGCAGG